rnacentral:rRNA from 1 species
GUAGGGAAUCUUCGGCAAUGGACGAAAGUCUGACCGAGCAACGCCGCGUGAGUGAAGAAGGUUUUCGGAUCGUAAAACUCUGUUGGUAGAGAAGAACGUUGGUGAGAGUGGAAAGCUCAUCAAGUGACGGUAACUACCCAGAAAGGGACGGCUAACUACGUGCCAGCAGCCGCGGUAAUACGUAGGUCCCGAGCGUUGUCCGGAUUUAUUGGGCGUAAAGCGAGCGCAGGUGGUUUAUUAAGUCUGGUGUAAAAGGCAGUGGCUCAACCAUUGUAUGCAUUGGACACUGGUAGACUUGAGUGGAGGAGAGGAGAGUGGAAUUCCAUGUGUAGCGGUGAAAUGCGUAGAUAUAUGGAGGAACACCGGUGGCGAAAGCGGCUCUCUGGCCUGUAACUGACACUGAGGCUCGAAAGCGUGGGGAGCAAACAGGAUUAGAAACCCUGGUAGUCC